rnacentral:rRNA from 1 species
GACGAACGCUGGCGGCGUGCUUAACACAUGCAAGUCGAACGGUAAGGCCCUUUCGGGGGUACACGAGUGGCGAACGGGUGAGUAACACGUGGGUGAUCUGCCCUGCACUUUGGGAUAAGCCUGGGAAACUGGGUCUAAUACCGGAUAGGACUACGCGAUGCAUGUCGUGUGGUGGAAAGCUUUUGCGGUGUGGGAUGGGCCCGCGGCCUAUGAGCUUGUUGGUGGGGUGAUGGCCUACCAAGGCGACGACGGGUAGCCGGCCUGAGAGGGUGUCCGGCCACACUGGGACUGAGAUACGGCCCAGACUCCUACGGGAGGCAGCAGUGGGGAAUAUUGCACAAUGGGCGCAAGCCUGAUGCAGCGACGCCGCGUGGGGGAUGACGGCCUUCGGGUUGUAAACCCCUUUCAGCACAGACGAAGCGUAAGUGACGGUAUGUGCAGAAGAAGCACCGGCCAACUACGUG